rnacentral:sRNA from 1 species
CAAAAGGCAAAAAAAAA